CGCUGAUUGGCCUCUCCUGAGGAAAAACGCUCUUUAUAAAUCGGGUCUUCGAGCUGCCUGACAUCGAGAUCCUUCCUACUUUUCGAACUGCCUUGAAAGCUGUCGAAGAUCGCAGAGGAACCAUGAAGGUCGUGUUUAUCGCCGUGUGUCUGAUCGGACUCGUCUGUGCCGUCCCUAUAGAUGAUGAGCACCAGAUCGAGAAGCGCUCAAACAGCCAUUGGUACCUCGGAGGCUACAACAACUACGACAACAACAACAACAUGUUCAACUCUCUAAUGCCCUUCCUGCUACUGCGUCUACUCAACCCCCCUGCACCCGCCCCUGCACCCCCUGCUGGCAAAUAAGAGAAGCGAAGCGUUG